rnacentral:rRNA from 1 species
UACAGAGGGUGCGAGCGUUAAUCGGAAUUACUGGGCGUAAAGCGUGCGUAGACGGUAGCGUAAGUCAGAUGUGAAAGCCCCGGGCUCAACCUGGGAACUACAUUUGAGACUGCUCUGCUCGGGUGCGGAAGAGGGAAGCGGAAUUUCCGGUGUAGCGGUGAAAUGCGUAGAUAUCGGGAGGAACACCAAUGGCGAAGGCAGCUCGCUGGGACGUGACUGACGCUGAGACGCGAAAGCGUGGGGAGCAAACAGG